rnacentral:rRNA from 1 species
CGAGAUUCCCCCAGUAGCGGCGAGCGAACGGGGAGGAGCCCAGAGCCUGAAUCAGUGUGUGUGUUAGUGGAAGCGUCUGGAAAGGCGCGCGAUACAGGGUGACAGCCCCGUACACAAAAAUGCACAUGCUGUGAGCUCGAUGAGUAGGGCGGGACACGUGGUAUCCUGUCUGAAUAUGGGGGGACCAUCCUCCAAGGCUAANUNCUCCUGACUGA